GUACUCGCUUUGACAACACAUAUACUAAAAUUGGAAUGAUACAGAGAACAUUGACAUGGUCUCUGCUCAAGAAUGACAUGCAAAUUUGUGAAAAUUAAAUUUGA
ensembl:snRNA U6 U6 spliceosomal RNA